GAGCGAGAAGAGGGUCAGGGUAAGGGACAGAGGGAGGAGAAGGACCGAGAAUUGUUUGUGUUUCUCCCUCGAAGAAAGGAAACAUCCUGGGAGCCAGAUAACCACGCAGAUCCUCAGAGAUGGCAAGUCCAGACCAUGGAUUCCUGUGUCCCAAAAUGCAAAGAUAGACUUGGGGGAGGUGUCACCUGAUGUGGCUGAAGAUCGUCCUGGGCUGGUACAGACCCCUCCGUCCUCUGUCCUGUGCUGACGAAUCUCACCCACAACCCAGGCAUAGAAAUAGAAGGGCAGUCAGAGAUCACAGGUGACACAGAACUAGAGUGGAAUGCUAAUACAUUCAAGGGAAAAAUCAGAAUCACAAAAGGUCUCUGAAAGUC